rnacentral:rRNA from 1 species
CCGCGACCCCAGGUCAGGUGAGACUACCCGCUGAGUUUAAGCAUAUAAAUAAGCGGAGGAGAAGAAACUUACAAGGAUUCCCCUAGUAACGGC